UCCUCCUCCUCCUCUUCCUCCUCCUCUUCCUCCUCCUCCUCUUCCUCCUCAGACCCCACGUUUGAUACUGUCUUGGUCUUUGGCACUGGCACUUGGUUAAGUAGUACGGCCUUGAUUUCCUUACCAGUAAAAUGGGGAUAAAACCAGUGCUGACUCGAGACACUGCAAUGAAGAUGUGAUGGCUGCAU
rnacentral:miRNA from 14 species